rnacentral:lncRNA from 1 species
UCGAAUUCUGGAUCAUAUCUCCUGGGUGGAAUUCCUCUAUUAUUCCGAGGGGGUAGGACAUAUUAGCCUGUUUCAGAAACCUCAAGGGAAAUGGGUUCAGUAGUAAGGUUAUUAGAACCAGGGAAAAGUUCAGAUUCACAUACCUCAGUUGUGUGUUCCUCAGGAUAUUCUACGGUGUCAGGUUCUGGUUGUGACGUUGAGACCGAGGACUGUACUAGAUGGUCAGUGUCUCCCAGUUCUGGUGUAGACUCAGGAAGAGAAGAAUGAUCAAGUUCUGGCCCCUCCUGACUAAGCCAAUUUGGCAGUGGUGGUGAUUGUGC